rnacentral:lncRNA from 1 species
UACAAGUCAUUAAGUAACGGGUUGGAAUUCCAGUUUGAAGCCCCUUGGAAUAUUUUGAAAUAUAUCCCGUUUGUUUAAAAUCUAUUUUAGUUUAUUAUUUGAGUACUAGGUUAUUUUCAUGUACUAGGUUAUUUUCAUGUAUUUCUUAUGUAUUUCGUAUGUAUUUCGUUUGUUUAAAAUCUAUUUUAGUUUAUUAUGUGAGUACUAGGUUAUUUUCAUGUAUUUCGUAUGUAAUUCGUAUGUAUUUCAUAUGUUUAAAAUAUAUUUUAGUUUAGUAUGUGAGAAACUCGUAUGAUUAAGUUGAGUUAAUAUAUUUUAGUUUAUUAUGUGAGUACUAGGUUAUUUUCAUGUAUUUCGUAUGUAAUUCGUAUGUGUUUCAUAUGUUUAAAAUAUAUUUUAGUUUAGUAUGUGAGAAACUCGUAUGAUUAAGUUGAGUUAAUAUAUUUUAGUUUAUUAUGUGAGAAACUCGUAUGAUUAACUUGAGUUAAUAAAUGGCCAUUGCAUUAGUUAUCAAAAUAUAUUAGAAUACAUUAGUAACAAGAUUCCAUGAACCAUUAAAACAUCACAACAAUUACAUGAAAAACAACGACAUAAUACGAACAAAGCAUUAACGUAAAACACAAGUCCAUGGCUUAUUCUUAACACAAAUUAGAGCGGUCUACUUGAAAUACUGUUUAUCUCUAACAACCUUCCAAACUUCCUCAUAUUCGAAGUCUCUGCCUUCAUGCUCAAAGAUGUAAAACUCUGUAACAACUUCCAAGAACUCUUCUUCGUCACGACAACGAACAUUGUUACGUUUCGCAUAACUACAUGCUCGAUUGAACCAUGUCACUUCCUCCUUUACAUCCGUCCACUUAGUAACAACAUCUGAUUUUUCUCUUUUUUGCCCUUCUCCCAUCUCAUGGUUAAACAAAGAUGUGAUGCGACUCCAUUCAUCAC